GUUCAUGUAGCGCAAUAGAUAGCGCGUUGGACUUCUAAUCCAAGGGUCGUGGGUUCGAAUUCCACCUGGGAUG
rnacentral:tRNA from 1 species